UAAGGAGAAAGACUCUACGUCUGAAUAGUUUUUGAUGGUACAGAGGAAAUGUUAUUUAGUAGAGCCAGUGAGCUCUACUUUUGAGCAUGAGCUAGGAUGAGUGGGGCUUCAUACAGAAAAUGAGAUGAACCAGAGAAGAUGGGAAGGCUGUGUGGAAAAGUGAGAUACCUGGAAUUUUAAGCAGAGGUCAUAUCACAGAUAAUUCCAAAUAAUGGAAUAACCACUUUAACUUCAAAAUACCCCUGAAGCAAUGCUUUUAAGAAAUUAGAAGUUCCUUUUGGUCAUCAUGGAGAUAGUUUUAAGGACAGAACUAAAUCUGGCAUUUAAAUUUAAUUCUUAGGACAAAUCGCUUGGCAAUCUUAGGAAAAAGAGACAGAGUGUGAGCAGGGGAGGGGUACAGAGAAAGAGGGAG